UACGGAAGGGGCGAGCGUUGUUCGGAAUUAUUGGGCGUAAAGGGCUCGUAGGCGGUUUGUCGCGUCGGGAGUGAAAACUCAGGGCUUAACCCUGAGCCUGCUUCCGAUACGGGCAGACUAGAGGUAUGCAGGGGAGAACGGAAUUCCUGGUGUAGCGGUGAAAUGCGCAGAUAUCAGGAGGAACACCGGUGGCGAAGGCGGUUCUCUGGGCAUUACCUGACGCUGAGGAGCGAAAGCGUGGGGAGCGAACAGG
rnacentral:rRNA from 1 species